CUAAGCUAUUAUCGUCCGCACAAAUACCAACGCCUCUGUCUUUCUCUUAGCAUCCUUUGCAUCAGCACUAGUAAUCGGUUGGAUUACCUACGUAUUCUCGAAGAACGUUCGCAUCGACCCCAAAACUAGAUUACCUUCAUUUAAUUUUGCCGCUUUGAAUUUUUCUUAAAAUUUUUUUGUGUAAUUAUUUAAAGUUUUUGUCUUUGGAAAAAAAAAAAAUUUUUAUAUCAAAUGAUUUCGAUAGGAGAGAGUGAGGAGAUCGCUGUAGCAAAAAAAUCAGCUGUCACCUGCUUUAUUUGUACCGGUCCGGUGGUCCAUGAAUCGGAGGCAUUAAGAGUUAGUUGUGGACACACUUUUCACAGUGUAUGUUUUAAUACAAAGAUUAAAAAUAAGAAAGUGUGCCCAACCUGCAAACGAAACAUAGAGGAACCUUCCGCGGAAAAACCGACGGGAUCAGGGACCACUACUCGGGCACAAUCCAAAAGAGACACAACUGCUUCAGCUCAUAUAAUGGCUGACGACAGCGUUACACCCUCCUGUGUAAAUACACCAACAAACGAGAACUUUCAGCAAUUAAUUGCACAUGCUAUGGCUGCCGCCGCGACCCGUCAGUC
rnacentral:lncRNA from 1 species